ensembl:lncRNA
UGCGAGUGUAUGUCUGUGCCUGUGUGUGUGUGUGUGUGUGUGUGUGUGUGUGUGUGUGUGUGUGUGUGUUUGUGUAUGUGUGUGUGUGUGCGUUAGAGCCAAACUGUUUCUCGGGCAUUAAGAUUCUCAUUACAGGAUCCACUCUUUCAUCCUUGGGUUCAAAGCGCCGCCCCGGCCAACGGCAGUGGGAGAGCGGAUGCAUACCACCAUUUGAUGGGGUGGUGAUGAGCGGGAGCAGGAGAUAAGAGAAGGGAGGGACGGGGAGGUAUGGAAGGAGAGAUGUGGGAGGAAUAUGAGGUGAGGAGACAGAGGGGAAGCCCUAUGGAGGGCACAAGGGGAGGUGGAAGAGGAAGUUGAACAUCGGACAGAACCUUGGACUUCAAGCUUCUCCUUCUGUCCGUGGGUGAGAAGCUACACCCUCCUGCCCAGCAACCAUUCAACCUGGAUGAUUUACACUCUGAACUGACCCCCCCCUUCUCGCCCCUGCAGGUCAAAGUCUCCCCCUUCCUCCACUUCUUUGUUCACACAGGGUUAUUUUGUUAAUGUGUGACUUGUUGCCUAAUCUGUCAUGUUGCGCGUUACAGUAGAGUGCCCCCCCCCUCCCUUCCCUCGACUUUGCAGGCCUCAAUUGUGAGAGAUGCUUAGCCCAUUGUGCAGCAAGGUUUUUUAUGCACAGCCAUGCCCUCCCCAUAUGGACGCCAUUGUGGCUUGCAAUAAAUGGUCACAUUCAGCCCCACUUCCGCCUUCUCAUUGAACAGCGUCACAUUAGCAUUCUGCUGCGACACAUAGUGAGGGAUUACAGGUAGUGAGCUUGGUCAAAUGUAGGAGAAGGAAGUGAUCCUCGGUAUGUGAGCAAACCAUCACGUUGUUAGGCUGCAAGCAUUUAGGUGCCGUUUUAUGGCUCUCGGUCGCUGUGGUUAUUCUCAGCUCAAUUAACAGAUGAGGUUUUAUGGAGUGAGCUAACAAGGUCUGCAGAGGUCCUGUUAGGCCAGUUCAGCAGUCUGAUCUUAAGUUGAAAUAUGACUCAGUUAAUGGCCUCUAAAUGCUGCAUGGGAAAAGGACGAAUACCAAGCUCUGCUUCAUGCUGGCGCGCAGGGAAAAGGCUUUUUGAGGUUUUAUCGAUAGCCUUUGCACAUGAAUCAAUGUCAUGCUGAUCAUCCUUACAGAUGGACUGUCUUUUCUCAUGUUUUUAAAGUAAGGGAACAAAUAAAUAACCAGAAAUGACGUAAGAUUUGUGUGAUAGUAUUGAAUUGCGGUUGUAUUGGAGGGGCUGUCGUUGUGAUUGUGAUUGCAAGAAAACUAUGAAAGGUUGAAGAAAGCUGGAUCAAAUACAACACGUGGCAAGGGGCAGUGACAGAUAACAAGUUACAAUCUCUUGGUGAACUAUGACUUCAGUAUGAAGACGUCAAAGAGACGUUCCACGCCCGUGAACCCCCACCGCAUGAUUUCAACGUGGACAAUAUGUGUCACGGUGGUGUGGUGGUUAGCACUGUCGCCUCACAGCAAGAAGGUCCUGGGUUCGAUUCUGCAUGUUCUCCGUGUCUGUGUGGGUUCUCUCCGGGUUCUCUGGCUUCCUCCCACAGUCCAAAGACAUGCUCUGGGCAUCAGGUUGAUUGGUGACUCUAAAUUGCCCGCAGGUGUAUGUAUGAGAACGGUUGUGUGUCUCUGUGUAGCUCUGCGAUUGGGUGGCGACCAGUCUAGGUUGGACCCUGUCUAUCGCCUGAAGUUGGCUGGGAUGGACUCCAGCCCCCCCGCGACCCUGCGUGCAGGAUAAGCGGUUUGACAAUGGAUGGAUGGAUGGAUGAAUUUACAUAUAAUAGUUAACAAUUAUAUUAUUUAACAACUUUGUUACUGCCAAACAUUAUCGUUGGAAAAGUUAUUGCAUCAAUGUACAUGAAUUUCUCUCUAAAUGUUUGAAAAAGUGUCAUGUAAAUGUUGUUGUGCUUUUUUGUUCAUAUGAUAAUGCUAAAUGUGGCAAAACUGCGCAGGAUUUUAGACCGUGCAACAUUUUACAAACGGCGCCCCAUAAACCACCACACCACCGCGCCGCCCAUGUUGUGUUGGUGGUCAGUUAUAUUUUGCAUGCUAAUCAGAAAGAGAGAACUGGCUGCUGUUUUGCUUUAGUUUAAUUUCUGCUGUUUUCCUCAGUUGGUUUUUAUAAUAUUAACACCGUUUUUAUAGGCAUUUGUGCUUACCUUGGUUUUAUUGUUUUCUCUAAUAAAACCUUUUCCUUAAUUACAACAAACAUAGCUCUGCCUUAUCCACAGUGACUCAUUUUCGGGCCUUGGGUAUCUUGAAUCUGCAUUUCUUGGGGUGUAAGUCCCCAGGUGGCGUUGCUGGUUUCUUCCCCUAAAGCCCCGUCACACUGAGUAAGGCUGACCAGAUCCUCCUCCCGCUCGUCACCUCCUGCCAGUAUUUAAACCCGGGUCCUGCAGUCCCCGGUAGUCUGUCUUCUACCCUGGUUCAGGUCCUUUCAGAUACGCCCUGUGUUGUUCCACGGAGAUCACCAGUCGACGUAAGCCUACCAUAGUGUUGGUUCACAGGAAUCGGCACAAUCAAUCCUGUUAUAAAAUGACGACUGUUGCUAUUGGGUCCUGUCCUGAACUCCCGUGACAGACUUACGACCAACCCAACAUUACCGUAACAUUGUUUCUUAAUGUCUUUGUCUCAAUUCACUGUUUCGAUCACCAGGGGGGACUUGGCGCUUCACUUUUCAAGAAUGUUUAUUGAGGUGAUGCAGUUGGUGAUAGUGUGGGCUCCAUGGUGGAAAGGAGUCCGUUGAAUUCUCAAAACGUUUUUGUCAUUGCUGUGAGUUCACAAAUGGGUUUUGAACCAUUUCUGAAGAAAAGAUUCAUAUUACCUUCUAAGUAACGAUUGUAGGUUGAAACCCUUCCAUCUCCAAAAUGCAUCCAUCGAAAGGCAGUAAACUUAGUCAAACUGUCGAUAAGCGAGUUUGCCCAUUAACUGUCAGCCUUUCAGAAAAGGAGACACUCACGUAUCUGGUCAAAAGUGAUCUUGAACAAAAGCACCGGCUCACUUGUAUACACUGCUCUCGGGAACAUUGCCAGUUUAAAGUCUGAGAUGUAAAUAAUGCACAGUUCCAUUUUUCUUUUUUACCUUUACAAUGAGAUCAUGUGUCACUGCUCAUUCAACCCGUGGAGUUCCUCCGCUUCUGCAGUAAUGACUAAUGUUGGCAAGAAAAACUAAACGUAAGCUGAUAUCUUGUUUUGGAGGAAUGAGGAUGUGACGGAGGUGCAGGUUACAGCCCGAGUGGAAGGAACGAGAGCGGCCUCCUCACCGCCGGGACGUACGUGGUAGAUCAUGGGCUUGUGUGAGAGUUUUUGUCGUGCGGUGACAGCCGGUUUCAAAUGAACUGGAGGGAAACCAGAGACGAGGUCAACAAAUGGGCUCAAUGGAUCAGGUUGAUUUGGUCAGUGUUUCCACUCACACCUCACCGUUCCUCGACAGACUGAGCUGAACAACCAAGAAUCCCUCACCAGCCACCUCGAGUCCCUUCAUCUACAGGCUCUGGUUUGCCGGUUGGUGGCAAGAAUGAAAUGAGUGGUAAUGGGCAGCAGAGGACAAUGAGCGAUCUAUCUCCUAAUGACUCCUCCAUGAAGAAGGCC